GGGCGAUUAGUUUAAUGGCAGAACAGCGGCCUCCAAAUCCGCUGGUGGGGGUUCGAUUCCCUCAUCGCCCG
rnacentral:tRNA from 1 species